rnacentral:rRNA from 1 species
UACGGAGGAGGCAAGCGUUAUCCGGAAUUAUUGGGCGUAAAGAGCUCGUAGGUGGCGUGUCGCGUCUGCCGUGAAAGCCCAUGGCUUAACUGUGGGUCUGCGGUGGAUACGGGCAGGCUGGAGGCUGGUAGGGGCAAGCGGAAUUCCUGGUGUAGCGGUGAAAUGCGCAGAUAUCAGGAGGAACACCGGUGGCGAAGGCGGCUUGCUGGGCCAGUUCUGACGCUGAGGAGCGAAAGCGUGGGGAGCGAACAGG